GUCCCUGUAGCGCAAUGGAUAGCGCCUUGUACUUCUAAUCCAAAGGUCGUGGUUUCGAAUCCCACCUGGGAUG
rnacentral:tRNA from 1 species